rnacentral:rRNA from 1 species
UACAGAGGGUGCAAGCGUUGUUCGGAAUUAUUGGGCGUAAAGAGCGUGUAGGCGGCCGUACAGGUCAGCUGUGAAAACUCGAGGCUCAACCUCGAGACGUCGGUUGAAACCGUACGGCUAGAGUCCGGAAGAGGAGAGUGGAAUUCCUGGUGUAGCGGUGAAAUGCGCAGAUAUCAGGAAGAACACCCGUGGCUAAGGCGGCUCUCUAGUACGGUACUGACGCUGAGACGCGAAAGCGUGGGGAGCGAACAGG